rnacentral:lncRNA from 1 species
CUGACUAUUUUAUUGCUCACGUACUCCGUGAUGGGCACAGUGCUGGACAUCUGGGAAGAUGGCACUGCCUCUCUUCUUCGUCACUUUUAAGCCAGGGUUAACCACCCUGUCAUUGAAAUACUUUCUUUUAUUGGAUUCUGGUUGUCUUCAGCAUGUAACUGACAACUAAAGCCAUGGGCAUGGAUAAGAGUGUAGAGGGAAAAGAGAAAAGAAAAGAAGCAAAGAGGAGGGUGGUGGAGGGAAGAGGGGUCAUUGACCAUAAGCGAGGCAUUCUAAUUAAAAGGGAGAACAUACAAGAACUUCAAAUCCUAGCACCUACCCACUACACACUCCCAGUUUCCCCUCUGCCCUACCACCCAUCCUCCUGAUGCUUAUCUUAGAUAAAAAUUCUGAAAUGGGUCAAGCAGGCCCAGCUCGGCACUGAGUACCAGUUCAGGAGACAGCCACCAGGACCCUCAGCUGACAGCAAUUACAGGUCCGAGACAUUUUCCUCUGGCACUGUAUUGUAUUAACUUUUUUUUUUGUUUCCUUUAAAUUACAGGGUGACCUGCUUUCAGUUGGGAAGUUAUAACCAGUGGCCGAAUGAGAACAAUAUUUUCCCUAUAAAAAGAACAGAAGAGCCAAGGAUUCUUCAAAGAUUCCUGGGCACUGAGAAAACAAACUCCUGAGAUUGCCAUAUGAACCCAGCCCAGCCAGCCUACUAGAGAAUGAGAGACCACAUGGGGAAGAGCUUACCAGACUUUCAAAAAUCCCUAUGGCUGGAAAAGGCUUGGAGGUUUCUCUCUCCAUUACGAUUCAUGCACCUGCUUCCUCUUCUGCAACCACCCCUAACUUUCCUGCAGAACUACCAUUAGAUAAAUAAAGUUUAUUUUAUUUCAAGAUUUUUAAAGACA